rnacentral:misc_RNA from 1 species
AACGGUCUAUACCUGCGGUACCUGCGGAGGGAUCAUUACACAAUAAUAUAUGAAGGCUGCUCGCGGCUGGAGUAUUUAUUACCCUUGUCUUUUGCGCACUUGUUGUUUCCUGGGCGGGCUCGCCCGCCACCAGGACCACAUACAAACCUUUUUUAUGUAGUUGCAAUCAGCGUCAGUAUAACAAAUGUAAAUCAUUUACAACUUUUAACAACGGAUCUCU